rnacentral:rRNA from 1 species
CAAACCGCUCAGUUCAUUAAGAGAAGCUANNNUCGGGACGGAGACACCCCCGCCCUAAUGGGGCUAAUACCCGAUAGUCGUGGAGGCCUGGAAUGGUUCCCCGACAAAACGCGACGCGACCACGUUCACGCCGUGCCCGAGGAUGGGGCUGCGGCCGAUCAGGCAGUUGGCGAGGUAACGGCUCACCAAACCUUUGACCGGUACGGGCCAUGAAAGUGGUAGCCCGGAGAUGGGCACUGAGACAGGGGCCCAGGCCCUACGGGGGGGGGCAGGCGCGAAAACUCCACAAUGUACGUCAGUACGAUGGGGUUACCUCGAGUGCAGUCCGAUAAGGGCUGCUUUUCCAUAGAGUAAUAUCCUGUGGGAAUAAGAGGGGGGCAAGACUGGUGUCAGCCGCCGCGGUAACACCAGCCCCUCGAGUGGUGGGGACUUUUAUUUGGCCUAAAGCGUCCGUAGCCGGCUGUGUCCGUCCCCCGUUAAAUCCAGCGUCUCAAGCGUUGGACUGCGGGUGAUACCGCACAGCUAGAGGGUGGGAUAGGUGAGCGGUAUUUCUGGGGUAGGGGCGAAAUCCUUUGAUCCCAGGAGGACCACCAGUGGCGAAGGCUGCUCACUAGAACACGCCUGACGGUCAGGGACGAAAGCUGGGGCAGCGAACC